rnacentral:lncRNA from 10 species
CUUGCUGGAGGGAGAGCACACAGAUGAGCGGGUGCAGAGGCCAGGAUGUGUGCUUCUGGGAAACUGGCAGGAACAGAACUCUACGGGCCUGCAGCAGCAUCUAUGGGUUGCCAGUUACUCCCAGAGUCCCAGAGGGCAUGUGUUACAGUGCACUCUUUUAGCUUCGCCAUCCGUGGAUGGCUUAAGUAUUAAACAGCUCAGCAGAGGCUCAGUGUGACAGUCUUUUGCACCUGAAACUGGGUCCUUGUCGGCACCCAGGAGGAGUGAGGAUGCAUGGACAAAUAGGAGGGUGGUGAAUGCAGAAGAUUUUAUUGCCUAUAGAAGUUGUUUCCAGCAGGAAGGAGGCACUGGGAAGGGGAUGGAGCGGGAAGCAUUUUGUAUAUUUGAGGAAGAAGACAUUUUGGAGACAUUCUAUCUUAAAAGGAUAAAGAAGUAAUUGACCUGUUCUAGUUGGUUAAUUUCUUUUUUACUCAACAUAAACUAGGUGGAAUGUGUUAUCAUAACAAUAGACAUAUAGAUUGAAAAGAAAGAAAAAGGUCAGCAAACUUCCCAGCAGGCAUUGAGUAAACUGCCUAAGGUAACACUGCAAUUUCUAUUGCCUUCUAAACUACUGGAUCACCCACUAUUUUUCAAACAUAAUACUAUAUUCGGUAAAGAUCAAAAUGAGAUAUGAUAUUUGCCCUUAAUCAACUUGCAUUUUAAUUGCAAUGCCAAUUCAUGUGAAUAUGAAGACAUAAAUGAGUAAGAAUGU